rnacentral:lncRNA from 10 species
UAGAGGCGCCCCCCGCACAAAGCCCCGGGCGGGCCGAGGCCCGACUGUAGGGACUCCAGCCACCUUGGCCCUCCCUGCCCGGGGAAGGCCGCGCUCAAGGAAUGGCCUCGCAUCCAAAGGCCAGCGAGGAGCGGCCCCUACGGGGCCUGGGCACAGAGCUCUGCCUUCCAGGGACACUGCUCUUCCCCAGGAGAGAAACAAGAAGCUGGAGGCUGUGGGGACAGGAAUUGAACCUAAAGCCAUGUCCCAGAAAAACUUUGCUGACACCUGAAGUGGAGGUUAAGAGCAUGGACUGUGGAGUCAGACUCCUGGGUUCAAAACCCAGCUCUACAGCUGACUGUCUGUGAUCCUGGGCACAUUACAGCUCAAUAUUUUCUCAUCUGUAAAAUGGGAAUAGUAAUAGUACUGACUAUUAGGAUCGUUGUGAGGAUUAAAUAAGCUAAUAUAUAAGU